rnacentral:rRNA from 1 species
GAUGAACGCUGGCGGCGUGCUUAACACAUGCAAGUCGAACGGUGAAGGCGGAGCUUGCUCUGCUGGAUCAGUGGCGAACGGGUGAGUAACACGUGAGCAAUCUGCCCCUGACUCUGGGAUAAGCGCUGGAAACGGCGUCUAAUACUGGAUACGAGCUGCGAAGGCAUCUUCAGCAGCUGGAAAGAACUUCGGUCAGGGAUGAGCUCGCGGCCUAUCAGCUUGUUGGUGAGGUAACGGCUCACCAAGGCGUCGACGGGUAGCCGGCCUGAGAGGGUGACCGGCCACACUGGGACUGAGACACGGCCCAGACUCCUACGGGAGGCAGCAGCGGGGAAUAUUGCACAAUGGGCGAAAGCCUGAUGCAGCAACGCCGCGUGAGGGACGACGGCCUUCGGGUUGUAAACCUCUUUUAGCAGGGAAGAAGCGAAAGUGACGGUACCUGCAGAAAAAGCGCCGGCUAACUACGUG